CCCUGGCCCUCUCUUCUCCGGGAUGCUGAAGGUUCGCCCGGUGGCCAGCACCGGUCCAGGCUCUUGCCGCCUUCCGUGAGGCUCCGUGACCAGCCCUGGCAUGUACGGGCUCGGUCCCAGCCCCGAGACGGCACCCAGGGAGUACGGGGUGAGAAUCCCUGAGGGCGCUCGUUCAACCUUGAGCUGAAACACCAGAACAACAGAGAGCGCAGGGGUGGGGUGGCCCUGGUCAUCAACGAAAAGAUCGGAAGACAGCAGAGCCAUGAGAGGCAAGGAGAAACGCAGCUCCUUAGAAAGUUAUGGCUCAUUUGUUCGUUCAUCGAUUCAGUGAGGAUGUGUUGGGCACCCACCAUCUGCCAGGCCUGUGCAGGUGCCGGGCGCCCAGAGGGAACAGACGUGGCCCGGUUCUUCCUCCAGCAGCAACCGGCCGUUAGCAGAAACGCGGACAGAAACAAGUACAAGCAGCCGUAUGCCCAAUCAGGGUCCACUGAACUAGGCUGUCCGGUGACUUCUGCCUGUGACCCGGAAGGCCUCUCUGCCCUGAACCCCCUCCCUUGGACACCAGGGUUGGAGGAGACCCAGGUAAGCACUUUCUUCAAGAGCUCAAGGCCCUUGGGACUGAGCAGAAAAAGGGGCUUUCCAGCCAGCGGGAGGGACAAGAGGAGGACGCCCUCCUCCCGGAGGCGGGUG